rnacentral:lncRNA from 1 species
UUUGGCUUUUUAUAGUUUUUUGUCCUAGGAUAAAUCCAACAACUCAUGUUUAUCUUCUUCUCUUUUUAAAUUCUUUUUUUCAACAACCCAAGAUUAUCUUCUCCUUUUUUUUUUAAUUCUUUUUUUAACAACCCAAGAUUAUCUUCUUUUUAAAGUCUUUUUUUUAUAAGAAAAACCAACAGCCCAGGAUUUUCUUCCCUCUUUUUUAGGCAGAUUUUUCUGGUACAAGUAUAGUUGGGCCGAAACUGGU